GAAGCUGUGACACACCACGCAUAGCAAUCCCCUCGCUCUUCACAGCUCCUUGAGGAAAAUCAUGCCAGCAUGCCUGAGGAAGACAGAUGGACUUUUAACAAAGGGAUGCUGGAUGAGAAUCAUCAGUGGAAUCACAACCAAAUUGUCGACUUACCCAGGUACACUGCUUCACAAAACUCAAACAGAAGCUUCUUUGUGAAGAGGACUGUAAAGGCUGUGUCAAGGUUAACAGCAACACUUUAUCUAUCACAUCACCUCCUCCCAAAGAAGUCUCCAACCCCAAGUGGACAGGAGACACUGCUCUGUCACACAUGGCUUAUUCAAUAGUCUUGCUGGUUUAAAGCCGCAUUUUGACAUGUUAUGUACUCACCUUUCAGCGUAAGUAAUAUGAAACUUGUUUCCAUUAUGUGCUCAGAACAGAAUUAACACAAAGUAACGGCAACAGGAACAGCUUUUGGAGAAGUUCCUUCCCUUGAACUUCCUAUCUCCUCUUCCAAAAUGCUUCUAGAUACUUUGUGAACAUCUAGAUAAGGUCAUGUUUCUGACACAUCCUAGAUUUUAAACUGAAGAGAGCAGGGUCAAAGUAAGCUUUCAAUUGAAAAGUAGUUGACUGGAUCACAGCUCUCAAAAAUCUGAUUAUGUCCUCAUUACCUCACUUCAAAUCAUCUGAAAAACCAUUUAAUUAUGUAUCCAUAAUGAAAUUCUUUCACAUUUCCUAAUCAUCUACCGUACUGCAAAAGAAUCAUGCUAGCAAUGUGCUGGGGCCUCUUGAGCUAUCAUAAAAUGUCCAAACACUAGGAAAUGGCACUUUGUUUCCUCCAGCCUGUGGGAGCUAAGAGAAAGGGGCAGUAGUUUGCAUCUUACAUUUCCCAAAAGUGGCUUACUUGCUGUGGGUCCUUAAUACUGUUUUCAAAUGAGACUUGGCCACACAGUCCUCAAAAGUCAUCAAAACACAAAAGUAGUUAUUAAAUCAAUUAAAAAAAAAAAAAAAAAAGUUCUCUUUGAAAAGCUUGGCUUCAGGAGCAUACAGCUUACUGUGACUUUGAUUUGGAAGCACCGAAGUUGCUGCCAUGACUUAGCACUCAGGAAAAUUUAUCCUUGAGCAACUCUUCACAUGUGACAGGACACUGAAGCAGCCACCCUGUACAGAAUUAAGGAGACACAACUGUGGGGAUGAGGAGGAGGACCAGACACCGAUUUGUCAGGUUGAAUAAAAAGCCAAAUCAAACCAGCAUUUGAGGCCAAGACCUCUCUUACCUACAAGUGCUAACAUCCUUAUGAGAUCAGUAAAACUGUCCCAUUUUCAGGAAAAAUAACACAUUCAAAAUUAAAGAUUAGUUGAAAGAAACCUAUUAUCUGGUCCAACAUCUGAAAUAGAAGGCAGACUCUGGAUUUUUAAAUUUACCUUUAAUUUCAGGUCUGUCCCUCACUUCCAGGUGGACCGCUGCUGACCCUUCUGGCGGAACAUGCCCAACAGGAUGCAUUACAAGCACUGUGCAGCCUGACACCUUGUUACCACCCUUAGGGGUUGAAAAAAAUAAACCCUACAUAUCUUCAGCUAUCAUUCAACAUAGAGGUGUGGGACUGCUAACUUCAAAGCCCAUCAGAGGUGACCCCACUGGCUUACACAAAAUUGCUCCAUGAGUUGUGCAUCAUAUUUUCCAGCUACUGCACCUACAGAGACAUGAUGCAUGCAGCCCUGUGUAAUGCUGGGCACUGGGUAACACUGUGUUAUAAUGUAUGCCUACUUCUCUGUUUCUCCCAUUAUUCAGUCCUCCUCUGAAGGUGCUAAAUCAGACUAUGAACUAAAUGAUAAUUUUCAAAUUUAAAAAAGUUAUUUAUGAAGCAUACUCUGAAGCUUUACAAUAUGCUGUUCAAAAUACAGCAUUCAAAUGAUAAAUAGCAAAGUCACCCUUUACAGAGAGGGUUUCUGCAAACCCCUUUACAGUGCCUUUAGACCCCUUUACAGUGCCUUUAGAUGCUAAUUCCUUCCAAUCUGCCUCUCCUUACUCACAACUCAUCCAGACAGGAACCUGGGCAUUUUCAAUUACUGUGCACAGAAAAAGACCCAAGCACAGCUUUUGUUUGCUAGCUUAAAUUAUUUUAGUAUUCAUUAAAUAAAGCCAAACACUUAAGAAAUAUUUGCUGAACUGGAACCCUAUAAUAGUAAUCGACUCCACUCCCAGGUGUAGAGAAAAACCAGAGGCAAUUAUGGAAGCAUUAGAACUAUUUGGAAUUCAGUGAAGUUAGCUUUCAUGCUUUUAUUUGUAUAAAUAUAUAUACUAGAGGAAAGGAGGCUCAGGUGAAGAAGAGGUCCAUAAAUACCUGAAGGGCAGGUGCAACGAGGACAGAGCCAGGCUCUUCUCAGUGGUGCCCAAUGCCAGGACCAGAGGCCACGGGCACAAAGCGGAGCACCACAGGAGGUGCCCUCAGCACCAGGCAGCCCUCCUGUGCUGUGCGGUGAUGGGAGCGCUGGCACAGGCUGCCCAGAGGCU
ensembl:lncRNA